AUUAUGAUAAGGGUUUAUCAGAGAUCUUUAGGAAAAUGAAAUUGAUGGAAACAUAACUGAAUUCAUAUAAAAAAGAAAAUACGGAAUUGAAAGCAGAGGUAAAGAAACUAUCAACAUGGCGAAACAAAAUAGAAGCAAAUAUGUGUUCCGAUGAAUGGGUACAGUAUCAUGGACAUGCUUACAAGUAUCAUACCACGAAAAUGAACUGGAUGGAUGCACAGAUUGCUUGUGCAAAAGAAGGAGGGUAUCUAGUGGAAAUUGAGGAACGCUUAGAAUCGGACUGGAUAACAAACACAUUUCUUAAAAGAGGUAAAUGAAGUAU